UGUAGACAUUACGACACAUAUAUUGUAUUUUUGAGGCUGAUGAAAAUGCAUUAGAACUAAAAAAGCAGUGAUUUACACAAAUCUUGUCGGAAAUGCUAGCGAGUUAUGGAUUAGUCAGGACGUAGAGUUAGUAGUGAUAGGGGGUCUGCGCGAAGGAGAGAUUGAUCUCUAGGCACAAAAUCCAGAUAACCGCCCAGAUAAUCGCGCUGACCCCAACGCUGGCCAUGAAUCGUUCUGCUCACGCUGAACACGCCACAUCACCAUGACAACGGGCGGCGUUUGGCGCGUGCAGCACUGCUGCCCAAUCUUCCUCACCUCCCCUGCACUACCUGCUUCAUGUCCAGUUUGUCGACAACCCCUUGAAGAAUCAUCGGUUGCAACGCAGCUUCCAGUGCCGUUCCAUCACGCUUCUGACCGCCCGCGAACGGUUCUGCUUCGGCCGACUGUGGGCGAGUUCGAGGAUUACAGAGGCGGGGAUCUACAUGUGGGGGUGUCUGACGGUAGUGGUCGGGUCCUGGCGUUUGAUCAGGAUGGUCUGAGGCUCUGCCCUGCCGCUGAGUGGCCGCAAUGUUUGGUGAUUCCACUUCCAGCGAGCGAUAGUGACGCUCAAAACAGUGGUGAUCGUAUUGAAAAUCCAGAGAAUAAUAUAGGUGAUGUCGUAACUUCUAGAGCUUCAUCAUCAUAUGACAGAGGCUGGGAUGACGCGAUCGCUCACUUCUUAAACUCUACCGAAUGGCGGGCAGAAGUCUACGACGAAAUAUCCUGCAACUGCUUCUCUUUUCUGCUGGCCUUCUUGGAGAGGACGGGAUUCCUUCCUGCGGAGGAUCCGUGGACGAGAGAGAGGUUCGCUGAAGAGGUGGUGCUGCCGGUGACGAGGAGGGCGGCCAAGUACCUGACGUUGAGGAGGAGAGUGCAGCAGGAUGGCUGGUGGACGGUGGGCGUGCAGCGAGACGCAGUGUAAUAGAUCGGAGCAGCUGUCUCAAAUAUUGCAGUUACGUUCGGCCUUGUCGGAAGACGAUACCGUUCGGUGUGCUCUGAUGACAUUUUAGCCGAACUAUUGAUAAGGCGAGGAGAUGGCAUAGUUUUGCCUCUUGGCCAUUGCUUUUUUAUACGCGAGGGAUAGGUAAACUAUUUGUAGUUUUUUAUUCUGUGAUGAGUGAUAAUUAUGCAGUCGAAUUCGUCUAUUAUCCAUAUUUAUUGACAUUACCCGUUUGUUUCGUGCGCACUGUUCAAACAAGAUCGGCGUGAUCAAGGUUUCGUCUGUCGUUGAUCUGAUUCCGUAAUGUCACGCAAUAAACAUUAAAAGCUGUUUUUUA